rnacentral:rRNA from 1 species
UGUGUGUUAGUGGAAGCGUCUGGAAAGGCGCGCGAUACAGGGUGACAGCCCCGUACACAAAAAUGCACAUGCUGUGAGCUCGAUGAGUAGGGCGGGACACGUGGUAUCCUGUCUGAAUAUGGGGGGACCAUCCUCCAAGGCUAAAUACUCCUGACUGACCGAUAGUGAACCAGUACCGUGAGGGAAAGGCGAAAAGAACCCCGGCGAGGGGAGUGAAAAAGAACCUGAAACCGUGUACGUACAAGCAGUGGGAGCACGCUUAGGCGUGUGACUGCGUACCUUUUGUAUAAUGGGUCAGCGACUUAUAUUCUGUAGCAAGGUUAACCGAAUAGGGGAGCCGAAGGGAAACCGAGUCUUAACUGGGCGUUAAGUUGCAGGGUAUAGACCCGAAACCCGGUGAUCUAGCCAUGGGCAGGUUGAAGGUUGGGUAACACUAACUGGAGGACCGAACCGACUAAUGUUGAAAAAUUAGCGGAUGACUUGUGGCUGGGGGUGAAAGGCCAAUCAAACCGGGAGAUAGCUGGUUCUCCCCGAAAGCUAUUUAGGUAGCGCCUCGUGAAUUCAUCUCCGGGGGUAGAGCACUGUUUCGGCAAGGGGGUCAUCCCGACUUACCAACCCGAUGCAAACUGCGAAUACCGGAGAAUGUUAUCACGGGAGACACACGGCGGGUGCUAACGUCCGUCGUGAAGAGGGAAACAACCCAGACCGCCAGCUAAGGUCCCAAAGUCAUGGUUAAGUGGGAAACGAUGUGGGAAGGCCCAGACAGCCAGGAUGUUGGCUUAGAAGCAGCCAUCAUUUAAAGAAAGCGUAAUAGCUCACUGGUCGAGUCGGCCUGCGCGGAAGAUGUAACGGGGCUAAACCAUGCACCGAAGCUGCGGCAGCGACACUAUGUGUUGUUGGGUAGGGGAGCGUUCUGUAAGCCUGUGAAGGUGUGCUGUGAGGCAUGCUGGAGGUAUCAGAAGUGCGAAUGCUGACAUAAGUAACGAUAAAGCGGGUGAAAAGCCCGCUCGCCGGAAGACCAAGGGUUCCUGUCCAACGUUAAUCGGGGCAGGGUGAGUCGACCCCUAAGGCGAGGCCGAAAGGCGUAGUCGAUGGGAAACAGGUUAAUAUUCCUGUACUUGGUGUUACUGCGAAGGGGGGACGGAGAAGGCUAUGUUGGCCGGGCGACGGUUGUCCCGGUUUAAGCGUGUAGGCUGGUUUUCCAGGCAAAUCCGGAAAAUCAAGGCUGAGGCGUGAUGACGAGGCACUACGGUGCUGAAGCAACAAAUGCCCUGCUUCCAGGAAAAGCCUCUAAGCAUCAGGUAACAUCAAAUCGUACCCCAAACCGACACAGGUGGUCAGGUAGAGAAUACCAAGGCGCUUGAGAGAACUCGGGUGAAGGAACUAGGCAAAAUGGUGCCGUAACUUCGGGAGAAGGCACGCUGAUAUGUAGGUGAAGUCCCUCGCGGAUGGAGCUGAAAUCAGUCGAAGAUACCAGCUGGCUGCAACUGUUUAUUAAAAACACAGCACUGUGCAAACACGAAAGUGGACGUAUACGGUGUGACGCCUGCCCGGUGC